rnacentral:lncRNA from 1 species
AGUUACCAAAGUGCAGAAAAGAUUGUUUGCAAGAUGACAUCGAGAUUAGUGAAGCGCCAAGUAAGGAAAAGAAAGCAAGGUUUGAAUGGAGUAUGCCUCAAACGAAGGACGUUUGUGCCCAGUUUGCACAAUGGAUAAACAUUAAGAAAGGAAACAAGUUACCCAGUAAACAUCAAGUUGAGGAAUAUUUAAAGGAAAAAGACUGGGGAUGCUCAUACGUACAGAUGCGUACCAAGAUAAUGAACGAGCAAAAUAAGCGUCAGAACCUCCGGGAAAAAAGAUUAAAGGAAAUAACUGAUUGAAUUUAUAAAUUGCGAAAGACAGAUAUGAUUUCUGACUCUUUAUGACUGUGUGGAUUUUGUGACAUACUGCUUGAAAACAAGUUAUGCUCUUAUUCUGAUAAUCUCGUGGUAGUGUUUCAUCUACAUUUUUACAGUGCACGAACUGCAUAUUGUACGUUCUUGUUUACAUGAGUUCUGUUCUGUUCUGAAAACUGUCACAUAGUGUUCAUAAUAUACAGUAUUUAGACGCCAGAAGGAACGUAUUAUGUUAUGACGCCGAUGUCUGUCCGUCCGUCAGCAAUUUUGUGUCCGCUCUGUUACUCUUGAACCCCUUAAAGGAUUUCGAAGAAACCUGACACGAAUGUUCACCAUAUUGAGACGACCGUGCAGAGUGCAUGUUUGAUGGCUCACUUCAAGGUCAAGGCAACACUUAGAGGUUAAAGGUCAUAAAACGUUGUUUCAUAUCAGCUCAGUAACUCUUGAACUGUUUGAAGGAUUUUAAAGGACAAAUGUUCACCACAUCGAGACGACGUGCAGAGCGAAUGUUACGAUUGCUUUAAUGUCAUACUUAGGGUUCAAAGAACAUACCUUUGGGCGUAUAUUGCUCCGCUUUGUGGUGCUCUUGUUAGAAUUUAUUCGGCAGACGUGGUAGAGUUCUUGGUAACAAUGAACCGUAUUAUUCUAUAAUGUCAUUAUUGAAAAAUGUUUAUUAAACAAUGACUUAUAAAGUUCUAUAUAAAUGUAUUAUAUUUAUGAAACAGUUUAAUCUAACGUAAAAAUGUAUUUGCAUAGUGAGUUUCUUUCCUUAUGUCUUCCACUGCAGUAAAACAAAGGAAUAAACUCUUCCCUUUUCGUUUCAUUAUAUACCAUAUGGCGUACAUAGAAAAAGCAACUGAUGACGAUGCAGAGUCAUUUUCAAUAUGACUAAAUUUAAGUCUUGAUCAACGUACAAAAAGCGAAAUUUGUAUAUUUGACAAGAAUAAGGUUUCAGUAAAAAAAUCUGAAUGAAAUGUAAAUGACGAGCAUAGAGAUGGUUGUCAGCAUUUGCUAUUUUGGUUGUUGAUUAAAGUAUACGAAUAAUGUAACAAACUUAUUUCUUAAGAACAUGUAUCUAUUAAAUACCUGUAUAAAUUCUGUAAAAGCAUUUUGUAUUUCACAAGCAAAUAUGAAUAGACAGAAAAUAUUCCGUAUUGUGCCUUUCGUAUUAUACGUUGCAGGACUACUUACUUUAUUAAUAUGCAUUACCUGCGCAAUUCUAUAAAUAACACACAUAAAAUUCGUUCAAUAACAAAACAACGAACAAGAAGGUGGAGGCAUAUAAUAAAAGGGCUAUUAUAACAGCAGCUAGAGUUUGGAUUUUGGAUUUGGCUCUCGUAAAUUUUGCAUGCGCUCCUCGUUAAAUCCGGUCUGAUAAAAAUCCACUGAAGCCGAAUACAAGACCCCAGAUCGAGCUACUUUUAUAGUAACUCUUUUUUGAAUAGGAUCAGUCGUACUAUCAAAACCAAACUGUCUUUAUUUUGACGCUAUUGUAUUGACUUUGUCAUUAUAUGUUGCUGAACUAUAAGGAAUUUGUUAUUGUAAAUUUAUUAAAAACAUCUUCGACUUUGUCAAAAUAUUUCGGGCUCCGCAUCCAGAUGCCCAAUUCAGCGGUCAUAGGGAACAUGAACUAGUUCCCUUUUCUGUAUUUAUGAAAGAAAGAGCCUAGAAUUUAUAUGCAGACAUUAUGAAAAAUAUGGAUUUUAUAUCAUACAGAGAAAUAGCAAUAGUCGUGCCUCAUUUCAUUAAAUGUUUGUUGGGAUUCGCAUCUAACAUUUCUGAACGCAAUUUCUGUAAACACACAAAGAUAAGAAGUAUUUAAUUCAAAGUUUGUUGCAUGAGUUAGAAAUUGUUUCGUAGAUGGGUAGGUUCAUGUGUUAUUAGACUAAAUAUUUGUGUAUAAUAUCAGAAUAUUAGAAUAUCUGUUUCGCCAAGCAAUUAUUUGCAAGAAUGUUUUUGUUAAUAUUAUGGCCGACAAGUCAGUUUCUUUCUUUUUUCUUUUUUUUUCUUUUCUUUUCUUUUUUUUUUUUUUUUGCUUGUUUCUUAAAUGAUUUUAUACGCCCGCCUCUGACAAUGCGGGGCGUAUUAUGUGAAAAACCUUGGCGGUCGGUCGGUCGGCAAUCUGACUAAAGUACUUGAUCUUCUAAUCUCAAAUUAGUCUUCUGUAUAUUUUCGAUUUGUAAUAUUUCUAUUUUCUAUUUUUAUUUUCGCAAAUCUAG